UACGUAGGGUGCGAGCGUUAAUCGGCAUUACUGGGCGUAAAGCGUGCGCAGGCGGUUUUGUAAGCCCGAUGUGAAAUCCCCGGGCUUAACCUGGGAAUGGCAUUUGGGACUGCAAGGCUGGAGUGCGGCAGAGGAGACUGGAAUUCCUGGUGUAGCAGUGAAAUGCGUAGAUAUCAGGAGGAAUACCGAUGGCGAAGGCAGGUCUCUGGGCUGACACUGACGCUCAUGCACGAAAGCGUGGGGAGCAAACAGG
rnacentral:rRNA from 1 species